ensembl:snRNA U6 U6 spliceosomal RNA
GUGCUUGCUUCAGCAGUACAUAUACUAAAAUUAGACUGAUAUAGAGAAGAUUAGCAUGGUCCCUGUGUGAGGAUGACAUGCCAAUAUGUGAAGAAUUCCCUAUUUUU